UACGUAGGGUGCAAGCGUUGUCCGGAAUUAUUGGGCGUAAAGAGCUCGUAGGCGGUCUGUCGCGUCGGCUGUGAAAACUCGGGGCUCAACCCCGAGCCUGCAGUCGAUACGGGCAGACUAGAGUUCGGUAGGGGAGACUGGAAUUCCUGGUGUAGCGGUGAAAUGCGUAGAUAUCUGGAGGAACACCGGUGGCGAAGGCGGGUCUCUGGGCCAUUACUGACGCUGAGGAGCGAAAGCGUGGGGAGCGAACAGG
rnacentral:rRNA from 1 species